AAAAGAAGUCAUGCCACUUGACAGUCUUUCCCAUAAGAACCAACCCCAGUACCAGGCAUGAGAAACUUCCUUUGAAUGGCUUGUCAAAGUAGUCCAAGUGACUCCCAAAUAAUAGUCUGUUGCUCUUGGUUGCUUUUCCAAGGUUGAAGGCAAGUCCUGACUGCUUAGGAUACCAUAUACUUAGGACACAGGAGUUGGAUGAUCUGAGCUGCACCUCACCUGAAAGCCUCUUCCCCAGUGACUUCCACAGUACCAGAAACUACUAAGCCAGCUGCAAAGGGAGGGAAGCAAAUAGGUGUGGCUACCACACCUCACCAAAGAAGAUUCUCUUUAUAACAAUUGGAGACCAUCACAGAAAACCACAACUGGACACAAUAGAGAUCACCAGAGAGUAAGAAGCUCAACCCUAAAGGUAACAUCUACAUGACAGUUUCUGCAUCUGUGGUUCAGAGAACAUGGCAGAAGAGGAGGCAGGAAGAUGAUGGGGAUUGUGUGAGAAACAAGACACAGCACAGUGAGAACGGAAGAGCUUCGUCCCUCACUCCUCCUUCAGGGAGCUUCACACCAGCUAGGCAAAGGUCAAGUGUACUUGGUAUGGCUGGAAGACCAUGGCUGACUUUUCAAGAACUGUGCUUUCUCAUUUGACAUUUCACCUUUUGGUAAAGAGAUUUUGAAGGAACCCAAGACCAGAACUGACCUGAAGCAGCCAGCCUGGAAUACUUCUCCUGUCCCACCACCUCUGCCUCAUGAUGCAUCAAGGCCAGAGGCACUUGUGCAUCAUCAGUUGGACUGUGUAUCAGUGAAAAGAAAAUGCUUUGGUGCAUCUGGCCUAGUUCAUCAGUUGGACUGUAUAUCAGAGAAAAGAAAAUGCUUUGGCGCAU